UACGGGGGGGGCAAGCGUUGUUCGGAAUUACUGGGCGUAAAGGGUUCGUAGGCGGCCAACUAAGUCAGACGUGAAAUCCCUCGGCUUAACCGGGGAACUGCGUCUGAUACUGGAUGGCUUGAGAUUGGGAGAGGGAUGCGGAAUUCCAGGUGUAGCGGUGAAAUGCGUAGAUAUCUGGAGGAACACCGGUGGCGAAGGCGGCAUCCUGGACCAACACUGACGCUGAGGAGCGAAAGCCAGGGGAGCAAACGGG
rnacentral:rRNA from 1 species